UCUAGCUCGGAUAAAAUAAAGGAGAGAGGGAGCAGGCGAGGGUUUAUUUAAGCAGCAGAAGGCUAAUCGAUCAUUAAUCAUCGAUUAUCGUCGUGUUUUCCAGGCAGACGCUGCUGAGAGUUCGUCUCACUUCAAAGUCACUUAAAUGUCAAAUCUAGGUUUGAUUUUCAGCGAUCAGGAGAUGAAGUCGAACUGCAAAGUCACGAAUGCGCCUUUCUUUCUGAUUUUGUAUGUAUGAUGAAGGUUUAAAGGACUCUACUGUCUGUCUGAAUCUCAAUUCUCCAAACUUAGCUCCAGGUUCGUCAGAAACACGGAUGCAGACGGUUCUCUCAACGGUCAAUGAGCCAUCGCAACAGUACGACAUGAGUGUGUAACAUUUGUGAGUGAUUCUGCACAGAAAUAAAAGACCAGUAUUAGGCUAAAAAAUAAUAUUAAUGCAUAUUGAUAUACAUGCAGCCGUACUGUAUGAAUUACGUUAAUGUUGAAUUCCCGAGCAUGUAAACUUAGCACACUACGGUGGACUUAAAUCCUCUCUGCUGCAUACGUACUGAAAUUACUCAAAACUUGAACGCAAAUGAAGGUACCUAAUAAACAGAUAAAGCCAGAAUUGGCGAUCAUUACGAGUGUAUCUAGCAAGCAACUGACAUAUUGAGCAAACCUUAAAGGGGACAUAUCAUGCUGAUGCAUACUUUCUAACCUACACAUGAUAUAGUGAAGCUGAAUUCCCAACACUACUCCUCCUCAAAGUUUCACAACAUGAGACGUCCUCCUCUUCCCAUUUUCCGGGAACGAGAUUUCCUGCCCCCUGAAACGGCUCGUUGCGAGAUCUUCCCGAGAUUUUGCACAACCUGACGUCAGGUUGUUGCAGUCUCUCCUUACUGCACACGUCUGAGAAAACGGAGUAAAACAUCUCCUCCCCCGCGCUCUGCCUGAGAGCCCACAGGCAGGAAGGACACGCUCACCCAGGCACAGUCGGGAGCCUCUGCUGUGCUGUUUUGCCUCCUGCUCUUGUCUUCACGCUAAGCAUUUUGAGAACCAACAGCAAGGAAAGUCAAAAGUGGUUUUGGUUGUGAUUCAGAAUCACAACUGUUUCCAUUUCCAAAGGAGGAAGGAAGGCACCAGAAAGCAGCGGGCAGCACUUAUCCUCUAACCGUUCGGUCUCAGCUGCUUCUAUGUGCUCGUCACUACACAGAGGACUCUGGACGAUGCUGGAUUUUCCUCUAAACUGCUGCUCAAACCAGGAGCGGUUCCCUCCAGAAAAGGUGUUCAUGGAGACUCGUAACCACAAGCUAGUACAUCCCAACAUCCCCUGCAGCCAGUGCAGAGUCAGUGUUGAAACACAAACUGUCAGUGAGACAUUAUCUUUGGGAACACCGUUUUCAGUUUAAUCCUCUGCAAUAUCCCUGGGACCCAGUUGUCAUAUGGAACUCUGAAAGAGCAGGUACCCAGGCUACAGCUCCAUGUCAGUUUGAGCACUGAGAGGUUUUCCCCUUUCAUCAACACCAAUGCAGGCUGUACCUGGCUGCAGUGAAUUUCAGUGAAAAUACAGAGUGUGAACAGGCUACGAUGCAGAUGGAGAUCCAAUGUAGUGGAUCACAUUUGCCAAGUCAAGAAAAGGCACAUCAAAGCCUGUCAAGACAAAAACAACAUUCCACCUAUGUGAGGGACCUCAUGACUUCAGUCUCUGAAAAGGUGUUUGAGGACCCUGCCACCUAUGAGGAAGAGUUAAAAGAGUCUCCAUCCCUGAGCAUCUGUGUUCCAAGUAGGAAUGGGCGAUAUCCCAUCGUUUGCGAUAUACCGCGAAAAAAACUUUCCAUGAUGAGAAAACGGCCUUUAACGAUAAUAACAGUAAACUAUGGUUGAUGAUGUAUGUGUCUGCGAUCGUCGCGCACACAUACAUCAUCAACUGCGCCGCACUCGUAACUCACGUGCAGAAACAUAACAAACAUGGCCGAAGGCAGAGAUGAAACGGAGGAUGAGUUUAUGAAACGAGGAGCUACCUCUGUUAUCUGUAAAUGGUUUGGUUAGAGGUAAUCAGACGUGGAGCAGACAACGGUAAUUUGCACAGUGUGCUUUAUUUUACAAUCCCCUAUUCCUCUGUUUUACAGCCGCGGAAAUUACGCAUGGUCCCACGGUUUAUAUGAGGAAAUAACGGAGCGCUUAGUCUAAUAUUUAGAAAGAUGUGAGUAAUAAACUCGCAUCUCAUGUAGAUUUCCUGUAAGGUUAGCAAUCUAUAAUAUUUACAACAACAUAGAAUAUACAUGAUAUGAUAGAUAACAUGAUACAUGUUUAUUUUGUUAGGUACAUAGGUGUCUUUAGUACACACCUCACAGACAGACAGACCGACAGAAGUGUAUGAUGGAGGGACAGAUACACAUUAAAGCACCAAACUGUAUUAUAUCUGAAAAUGUGAUUAUAACUACUACUACCACAUUAUAAGCUUCAGUGUUGUUAUACAUCAUGGACUUAAUCAAACUUAGUUAAAAAUAAUUUAUCAAAUUUACUUAUUCUUAUUAAUUUAACAUCAGAAGUUUUAACUUGGACUUGCAUUAAGUGACUUAUCUCUGUAAAAGCAAACAUGGUGGAGCCUGGCAGCUCUGCUCCACUGAAGGAACCUCCAGACUUAAAAGAGGAUAUCAGACUGAAUUUUACAUUUAAACACUAAAGAUAGAGGCAAACUGGACAAAAAAGACCAUAUCCUGGAAUGGCCAUAUGGAGGUAAAAUAGUGCUGUAAAUACUUCUAGUUUAGGGUCAAUUUUUAAUGCGGACACUCGACUUUUUAAUAAUCUGCCAAGUUGGAACAUUCUUUGUACUAUUUCCAAAUAAAUUUCUCUUUUAAUCUCUUAAAUGUAGAAGCAACAUAGUUUUUUUUACUGAAAUAUCCCUACAUUAAUAGAUAUCUAUUUAUAUAAAUAUAGAUAUGUUUAUAUAUCUAUAUUUAUAUGUAGCUGGUGUAGUUAAGGUUGUGUUGAAUGGUGCUAUUUUUUAUCGUGAUUUAUAUUGUUAUCGCAAUAAAUACAGCAAAAUAUCGUGAUAAUUUUUUUAGUCCAUAUCGCCCAUCCCUAGUUCCAAGUAUGAGAGGAAGACAACAGAGGAGAUCAUCGCAGGGCACAUGUCACGCUUCAGUCAAGGGGCGGAUAGAAGCCAACAUACUGUCCAGCAGGAUCCAGAAACUCCGGGCAUAUCCAGCUUACAACACACGACGUGUCUGCCCAGGUAUCCCCAGCACAGCUGACAAAUCUUCGGUAUGAAAGGCACUGACAGCGCCUGGACAAGAGACAUUUGACAGCAGAAGAGAAAAUAAUCACUGAGGGUAACCUGUAGACUGCUUUUAUCCUUGUCUUCUAAGUUUACUAAUUCAGUUACAUCC